UAUAUCUGUUUUGUGUGCUUGCGCUGCCCAUCUUGCCACUUGUUACUCAUUUGCACCAUUUCUACUGUGAGAUACACCAGGGAAGGUACACACCUGCUGUUAGUAAGCAAAGCGCCCUUAAAGCUUAGAUGCUGGAUUGUCUUCUUCCCCGAAUCCGUCCAUGGGUCUCUUUAACAUCACUCUUGGCCGCAGCUGAAUGUUCAAGUUGAAUAGCUCUGCUGGGCCCCUUGGCCUCGUUGUUGGGAAGCGUACCCUGGCUGUUCUUGAUUAAUUAUGUGCAACAUUCAGCUUGUCUUAGAACAAAGUCCAUUGCAUUAGAUACCAAAAAUCAAUGUAGCUGUCUAGUAGUUAUACCACUUUGAGAAGCCCAAAAGCAUGCAAGCAACCGAAUAUGAGAAGAAUUGCCGUAUUAACUUGUCUAAACAUCAAAAAGGCUCAUUCGAUUAAAAAAACAACACAACAGCUAGGGCAGUGCAAAAGGUGUGAAAUGCAUGCAUUCCUGAUUCAAUUCCUAGCAUAUUGUCCUUCAGUGCCUAAUGAUGCCCCUUUUAUGCGUCUUAGUUGAUGAGAGUCUUCCUUCAUUAAUUAUCAAGGCGUUCUUGUUACAGUUUUAUGAUGCACUACAGCCUUGUUGCCUGUUGGAUCAUUCGAAUGCUCCUUCUCAUACUCAAAGGGGCUUCAAAAACACCUCAUCAUGGAGCUGGUAAGAGUUUUCUGAAGCUUGCAAACUCCAACAACUCUACUUUGGAAGGGAAGCAGGCAGCAUGUAAGAGAGUAAAACAGGAUGUGCCAACACUUCCAUCUCCUUACAGGACUUUUAGGAUGGAAAGCUGUCUACCCUUUAUCUUAUCAAGAAGUUCAUGAAAAGUUAAUGUUGAUGCAGGCACCAAAUCAAGAAACAGAAAUCACCAUUAGCAUAUUAAGUAAAUGCUCAAUACAUCACGAGGUUUGCAAUCAGACUUAACUGAAUGCUACAGCAUUCUUCUCCAUGAAAAUCUUCCCAUAUGCAGAUGAAAACUCGUUGCGAUCAAAAUGACGGGUUGAGCAUUUAAUUAGGGCGGCGCUAGUGAUGGCUUCUGCUUCUUUAUUUGGCUUCGUACUCAGCAUUCACUUUACAUGAUAUGCCUGGGAAGAUAAAGAGUUGGCAGAGCCUUCUAAAAUUCCUGGAAGGGGGUGAAAGAGCAGACACACUGUCAAGCAGGGUUAACUGACGCGUUGAGUUCUUCCCUGAAUAAGUGGCAAGGGGGUUUCCCCCUUUGCAGCACUAGCUCAUACAUACAAGUUGAAUGGCUAUCUUGAGGCUUUCAUCAGCAUUGCCGUUGGCAAGCCCUCACAAUGAUUGACCAUUAGCAGUAUUCUAUAUCAGAUGUAAUCCUACAUUAAACGAAUUCAUCCAAAGUUUAGCAAAUGAAAAGAUGGUGUUUUUUUCUUCAUGCAAAUUGAUCCGCGAAGAGCUGUUGAAUCACAUGAAUUGUUUUUUGCUGGGCCCACAUCUGUACAUGCAUGGCCAGUAGAGAAUGGAUUCAAAACACAAGUUGCAAUUUGCAA